AACAUAUUUAGUUGUACGAGUUAUACUAGUUAUACUCAGUCGAAUGAGAAAAUGAGAUAAGAAAAUUGUGUGGCUCUGAGUUGUUCACAUGGUUGAGAUUUAAAAAAAUAAAAUAAAUGUGAUUCGAUGGCCAAGAUUAAAACACAGAAAUAAGAUCUGAUGGCUAAGGUUGAACCAUCAUUAAUGGCAAAAACGUCAUUUACAUAGCCUUUGUCCCAUGUAGAUUAAAAUAGGUGGUGACAGAUUUUUUUUCAUCCAUUUGUCCCAUUCUAGAUUAAAGUCCGAUUAUUGGUAAGGAGAGAGAGAAACUUGAUAAAGAUUGGCGUACUCUGUCUAAAGCGGAGAAUGAAGAUAAAGCUAGAGCCUUUCCUAAAUGGGUCUGCCAACACUCUCUCUUACCAUCGAUUCUUACGCCGGAAAGUUCUUCACUGAUUCCCCUUCUUCCUCUGUUUCGUGAUUUCAAAAUAUGAAAUCUUUAAACUUUGUUCCAGAAUCAGACUGGAGCAAAUGCAAGGGCUCAACAAUCCAUGGAGUCAACAGUGUUCUUGGCUCAACAACUCCUUUUGUUGUUUUACCUCCACGCAAGUCUCAAAACCUCAGCAAUGCCAAUGGAAGAAUCUUUUCUUGUUGUGUAUAAGUCUGAGUGAGCUUCUGAGUCAUCCGCUUCUCAAACUACUUCGUCGUUGCUUCAAACGUGGGUCAGAAGAAGUACAUUCAAAUAAUUCUGGCUCUAGUAUGCUUGACUAUCCAUUCCAUGUCUUAACUCGUGCAUUUGAUACUGCCAGAACUCUGAACUUGAAUUAUAUGCUAUUGAAGAAGAAAGAAAGAAAAAUUGUUGCAGCUAUAGAAGAAACAGAGAAACAAAAUGCUCAGGUUAUAACCGUCAGCUUGAGUCAAAAGGGGAAUCGCUUUUACGAACUUGAAGAUCAGUAAAAGUGGAGACAUAUUCGAUAACGCAGAGCUUCAACAAGCCAGAGAGUUGGACCCAAAGCGCUCAAGUAUACUCUAUGCAAUCUGAAAUGGACUCUCCAUUGGUUCGUUGGCAACACUAAUUUUGAUCAGCCUCUCCCUGCAAACCGUCUCGUUGCCUUCUGAUGUAUCAGCAGAUGGUUCCUUGCACGCCAAGCGAGAAGGUCCUGGUUCUAAUAACCAGUAUGGUAAAGACUUAAGUAACUCGCGAGGAGAUACAAAAUGAAAUCAGUGAACGUCGUGUGAAGCAUUUGUUGUUACAACUUGUUGUACAGCCUCUUUUUAGGUUUCAUUCUAACCCUCUUUAUUCAUAAAAUACUUUGAUUUAUAAUAACAAUAGUAGUUAUAUA